UUUUUUUUUUUUUUUGUUGAGGAUUGUAUUCAUGUGUUGUCUUUAACACAGCUUGCUUAAGUUAGGACACACAAGUGUCAGUUCGUCGCUUUUGUGUUUUGUUUAUUUGGUCAUUUAACUUUAAAAAGAGUGUACUUGUUCAGAAAUAAUAAAUAUUUUUUUUUAUGUCAAUUGCAUGCAACUCAAACAUUUUGUUUUGUAUGAGGCUUGCUAGUGAUUUCAUUAAGUUAAAAGGAGUGUUCUCCAAUGUUUGACCUCUUAGAAAAGAUAAAUUUUAAUGGAUGAUGCAUGAAUGUAUAGCUUUUUUUAAAAAAUCUGGUUAUCUUGUCUAUGAAAGUCUGGAAUGGUCAACUAUUACAAGUUAUUGGAGCCAAACAUUUUAUUAUCAUACUUAAUAUCUUAAAGUAAGUAGCUUUAGUGCCAUUUGUCAUGUUUUCCCUAUUAUGUUGCUACAGAUUUCACUCCUUCUGUUGUUGCUACCCUAUGCCUUUCAAUUUGCCAGAACUAUGUUUAAGCAAGUGUUUGAAUUACUGUUCAUUUAUAAAGGUUGUUUCUUACUAGCCAUUGGAUGACUGAAUAAAUAGUUCAGAAUUAUGAAAUAUCAAAGAUUAAGAAAAUGUGUUGAUAUUGGUAUUUAAUACAGUAUUUUGAUUACAACUUAGAAUUUUAACUUUACCAAAGUAGUUGGUAUUUAUCCAUAAAUUCUGUUUAUUAUUAUUUAUAUCAUGACACCAUCACCAAGAUAAGUGAGAAGACAACUCUGUUUUAUUGUUCUG